AGUGAACGCUGGCGGUAGGCCUAACACAUGCAAGUCGAACGGCAGCACAGUAUGCGCUUGCUCUCACGGGUGGCGACUGACGGAUGGGUGAGGAAUACAGCGUAAUCUACUUUUUCGUGGGCGAUAACGUAGGGCAACUGACGCUAAUACCUCAUACGACUAACGAGUGAAAGCAGGUGUUCUUCGGACCUUUCCAGCUUGCAUGAGUCGAUGUCGGAUUAGUUAGUUGGAGGGGUAAAGGCACACCAAGGCGACGAUCCGUAGGUGGUCUGAGAGGAUGAUCAGCCACACUGGAAGUGAGACACGGCACAGACUCCCACGGGAGGCAGGAGUGGGGAAUAUUGGACAAUGGGCGAGAGCGUGAGAGAGCCACACCGUGUGGGUGAAGAAGGCUUUGGGGUUGUAAAGCCCUUUUGUGGGGAGAGAAAAGGAGAAGGUUGAUAGCUCGUUGAUCGGAGGGUACCAAAAGGAUAAGCACCGCCAAACUUCGU
rnacentral:rRNA from 1 species